rnacentral:tRNA from 1 species
GAUCUUCAGCCGGUCGGUGACCGGCCUCGCCUGGCAGGCGAGGAUGAGGCCGUCGGCGAGAUCCUGCUCGUCGAGGACCG